rnacentral:rRNA from 1 species
AUUGAACGCUGGCGGCAGGCCUAACACAUGCAAGUCGAACGAGUGGCGGACGGGUGAGUAAUGUCUGGGAAACUGCCUGAUGGAGGGGGAUAACUACUGGAAACGGUAGCUAAUACCGCAUACCAUCGGAUGUGCCCAGAUGGGAUUAGCUAGUAGGUGGGGUAACGGCUCACCUAGGCGACGAUCCCUAGCUGGUCUGAGAGGAUGACCGGCAGAACUGGAACUGAGACACGGUCCAGACUCCUACGGGAGGCAGCAGUGGGGAAUAUUGGACAAUGGGAGCAAGCCUGAUGCAGCCAUGCCGCGUGUAUGAAGAAGGCCUGCGGGUUGUAAAGUACUUUCAGCGGGGAGGCGUUACCCGCAGAAGAAGCACCGGCUAACUCCGUGCCAGCAGCCGCGGUAAUAC